rnacentral:rRNA from 1 species
GACGAACGCUGGCGGCGUGCCUAAUACAUGCAAGUAGAACGCACAGUUUAUACCGUAGCUUGCUACACCAUAGACUGUGAGUUGCGAACGGGUGAGUAACGCGUAGGUAACCUGCCUGGUAGCGGGGGAUAACUAUUGGAAACGAUAGCUAAUACCGCAUAAUAUUGAUUAUUGCAUGAUAAUUGAUUGAAAGAUGCUAUUGCAUCACUACCAGAUGGACCUGCGUUGUAUUAGCUAGUAGGUGAGGUAACGGCUCACCUAGGCGACGAUACAUAGCCGACCUGAGAGGGUGAUCGGCCACACUGGGACUGAGACACGGCCCAGACUCCUACGGGAGGCAGCAGUAGGGAAUCUUCGGCAAUGGACGAAAGUCUGACCGAGCAACGCCGCGUGAGUGAAGAAGGUUUUCGGAUCGUAAAGCUCUGUUGUAAGGGAAGAACGGGUGUGAGAGUGGAAAGUUCACACUGUGACGGUAUCUUACCAGAAAGGGACGGCUAACUACGU